UACGUAGGGUGCAAGCGUUGUCCGGAAUUAUUGGGGCGUAAAGAGCUCGUAGGCGGUCUGUCGCGUCGGCUGUGAAAAACCCCGGGGGCUCAACCCCCGGGCUUGCAGUGGAUACGGGCUGGCUAGAGGCAGGCAGGGGGAGAACGGAAUUCCCGGUGUAGCGGUGAAAUGCGCAGAUAUCGGGGAGGAACACCGGUGGCGAAGGCGGUUCUCUGGGCCUGUACUGACGCUGAGGGAGCGAAAAGCGUGGGGGGAGCAAACGG
rnacentral:rRNA from 1 species